rnacentral:lncRNA from 1 species
UUCAUUUUCAGUGCUUCUUUUUCUAUUUGUUCUACUUCCUUUAGUAGAGCUGUGUUGUAUACCAUGUCAUCUAAGCUCUCGUUCUGUCCAUCAUGUCAAUCAAGAAUACAUACAAAAUACUAAAUACAUACACAAUACUAAAUAUAUACAUACGUGUUUCAAAAAAUAAUAACAAUACAUAUAUUAGUCAUAACAUCAUACCCUUGCAGCUUCAUUUUCACUAUUUACUAUUGUAGUUCUAUCCCCUUCUUCAUCCAUAUUUAUAUUUUCUGUAUUACCAUCUUCUCCCUCAUUCACCAAUCUGUCAUCUCUUUCACCGUUUCCUCCAUCACGAUCCUCA